rnacentral:rRNA from 1 species
AGGUGCUGCAUGGCUGUCGUCAGCUCGUGCCGUGAGGUGUCGGGUUAAGUCCCAUAACGAGCGCAACCCCUACCUUUAGUUGCCAUCAGGUUAAGCUGGGGACUCUAAAGGAACUGCCUACGCAAGUAGUGAGGAAGGCGGGGAUGACGUCAAAUCAGCACGGCCCUUACGUCCAGGGCUACACACGUGCUACAAUGGCCGAUACAGAGGGCAGCUACCUGGUGACAGGAUGCAAAUCUCCAAAGUCGGUCUCAGUUCGGAUCGGAGUCUGCAACCCGACUCCGUGAAGUUGGAUUCGCUAGUAAUCGCGCAUCAGCCAUGGCGCGGUGAAUACGUUCCCGGGCCUU